rnacentral:rRNA from 1 species
GACGAACGCUGGCGGCGUGCUUAACACAUGCAAGUCGAACGGACAGGCCCUGCUUUUGUGGGGUGCUCGAGUGGCGACCGGGUGAGUUACACGUGAGUAACCUGCCCUUGACUUUGGGAUAACUUCAUGAAACUGGGGCUCAUACCGGAUAGGAGCUCCUGCUGCAUGGUGGGGGUUGGAAAGUUUCGGCGGUUGGGGAUGGACUCGCGGCUUAUCAGAUUGUUGGUGGGGUAGUGGCUUACCAAGGCUUUGACGGGUAGCAGGCCUGAGAGGGUGACCGGCCACGUUGCGACUGAGAUACGGCCCAGACUCCUACGGGAGGCAGCAGUGGAGAAGAUUGCACAAUGGGCGGAAGCCAGAUCCAGCAACGCCGCGUGCGGGAUGACGUCCAUCGGGUUGUAAACCGCUUUCGCCUGUGACGAAGAGUGAGUGACGGUAAUGGGAAAAGAAGCACCGGCUAACUACGUG